UACGCAGGGUGCGAGCGUUAAUCGGAAUUACUGGGCGUAAAGCGUGCGCAGGCGGCGCGUUAAGACAGGUGUGAAAGCCCCGAGCUUAACUUGGGAAUUGCGCUUGCGACUGGCGAGCUGGAGUGUGGCAGAGGGAGGUGGAAUUCCACGUGUAGCAGUGAAAUGCGUAGAGAUGUGGAGGAACACCGAUGGCGAAGGCAGCCUCCUGGGCCAGCACUGACGCUCAUGCACGAAAGCGUGGGGAGCAAACAGG
rnacentral:rRNA from 1 species